GGCUUGGUAGUCCAGUGGUUAAGACUCUGUGCUUCCAACGCAAGGGGCCCAGGUUCGAUCCCUGGUCAAGGAACUA